UUUUAGAAAUUAAUUUAAAGUCUAACCUGCCCACUGAAAAUUUUAAAUGGCCGCAGUAUCUUAACUGUGCAAAGGUAGCAUAAUCAUUAGUCUUUUAAUUGAAGGCUGGAAUGAAUGGUUGGAUGAAAUAUUAACUGUUUCAUAUAAAUUUUUAAUAUAAUUUUAUUUUUUAGUUAAAAAGCUAAAAUUUAUUUAAAAGACGAGAAGACCCUAUAAAUCUUUAUAUUUAAAUAAUUUUAAUUAUUUAGAUAAAUUAAAUUAUAAUUAUUUUAAGUAUUUUAUUGGGGUGAUAUUAAAAUUUAAAAAACUUUUAAUUUUUAAUUAACAAUAAUUAUUGAAUUAUUGAUCCAUAAAUUAUGAUUAAAAAUUUAAGUUACUUUAGGGAUAACAGCGUAAUUUUUUUAGAGAGUUCAUAUUGAUAAAAA
rnacentral:rRNA from 1 species